CAUCUGCUCCCGUCUGCUCUUUCUCCUUUCCAACAACGGCUGCCAUUGUUGGGCCGGCGAUGGUUGCUUCUGCUCCUGUUCGGUGUGGACAGCCACGUCGGGGUCGUCCUCCUGGGAUUCGGGCGGCUGUUAUUGCUCGUGUACGCCGUGCCGGCAUGCCUCUUCCUUCUGCGGAUUCCUCAUCGGUGACGGCAGGCGCUGCUCAGCGUGGUCGGUUGGCUGGGGUUGAUUUAGUGCGGCGUUUCCACUCCGCGUCUCGCCGGCCGCUUCGCUCUCGCCGGGCUGGUGGGUUUACUUAUUUUUCUGUACUUGCAGUUCCAUUUAGAUUGUUCUUCUUCUUGUUUGUUUGGAGUGCAGUCAUCUUAUUUGGUUACUUGAUUUCGUAGGUAGCCAGCGUUCUGACUCGCCCGCGACGUGCUCAGCUCUACACGGACAUAACCACGUCUGCUUGGCGGUGGCUCUCCACGCCAGCGCCCGUUCCUUCUUCACCCGACGACGAUGGCAGCGCCGUGAUCGCAUAGCCUGCGGCCUUCCACAGCGAGCGGCGCGCCGAUCACGCUCGAGGUCGCCCUGCUAACCGUCUUAUCGCCAACGACGUCGAUGAUCACGGCGAGCUCGCCCAUGGAGGGCACCCAGUGCAGCCCUACACCGUUCCACGUUCGUGCAGCGACAGCGGCUGCACCAGACCAGCCCAGAAUACUGCUGCUCCUCGAAGUCGCAGUUCGAGCUGAGAAACAUAGGGGCGCCACAGCGGACGGAGACGUCGACGACGCAGCAUGCGGCGCAGAGCAGGGGGCGUGGCGCCAGCGGAAGGAGACCGUGUUGGCGUCGUGGAUAUGGCGGUCGCACAGCAAGCAGAGCCCCACUGUGUCCGCCCGGAAGUAUACCACGGCCAGCGCGCGGGAGCAUUAGCACUCCGUUGUGGGCACCAUGUCGGCGGCAACCCCUAGCACCAUGCAUGUAUUACUCCACGGAGGGAGUAUGUAAUAGGAGUAGUUUUUAUAGUAAACAGAUGAAGAAUGGCAUGUGCAUGUGGUUCUUGGCUAGAUGCCACUGCACGGAGGAUGCGGCGAUCCUGUAUUUUCAUGCAGGUUCAUUGCACUCUACGCGUGCGGCAGCUGCGACACCUCGCAUCUCGAUCGAUCCGGGUAAGAGUAAUUUGUUCGCCAUCUGCCUCUUUGCUAUAGGAGCUAUGCAUAUGUUUCAUGAUCACAGCCUCUCUGAAUUUAGAAUAUAUGAAUAGACCAUGCAUGACCGGGUGUAUACAUCCGUUAGUUCAACUAGCUAGCUAGCUAGCAAGGAAAAAGGCAGAACCAAAAAAGAGAUCGCAUGCAAGCCUUUGUUCAGGUGUGUCUGUAGCUCGGUGCUUAGCUGUUUUAGCUUUUCCAUAUACGGUGCAGCCGGUUUCGACUUGCAUGUGUAUUCUCAAUUUAGAAUAUAUGAAUGUUUGUCUUCUUGGGAAGUGCCUGUACAAAUUUGGAUCUGAAGAUGCAACUCACGUACUGCAGAAAAUUCUCAGUAGUCAGACUUUGUCAAGAGCCGAAGAAGGACCUAGGCACUCACAAUUUUGGAACUCCCUCAUGGGAUUUAAAGACCUGUUAUUUU
rnacentral:lncRNA from 1 species